GUGGUCGAAGGACAGAGAAUGUAUAGACCUCUCAAAACGACGAGUAACAACGAAGAUUCCAUCCAUAGAAAACGAUGAGCGCUCAACGAUGAUCCCAUCCCUAGACAACGACGAGCGCUCAACGAUGAUCCCAUCCCUAGACAACGACGAGCGCUCAACGAUGAUCCCAUCCCUAGACAACGACGAGCAUUCAACGAUGAUUCCAUCCCUAGAAAACGACAAGCAGCAACGAUGAUCCCAUCCCUAGAAAACGACAAGCAGCAACGAUGAUCCCAUCCCCAGAAAACGACGUGGAACAACGAUGAUCCCAUCCCUAGAAACCUCCGAACAUCUAUCAAACACAAAAAUGAAUAAAGACCCCAUACUUAUCGGUUAAUCGCACCGAUGAAACCCCUCGAAA